rfam:Streptomyces ambofaciens ATCC 23877, complete genome.
UUGAGCCGGAUGCGGUGAACAGCCGCACGUCCGGUUCUGAGGGGGCCGGAGGGCGGCAACGCCCUCCGGCUACCCGAC